GACGUAGGAUCCGAGCGUUGUCCGGAGUUACUGGGCGUAAAGGGCGCGUAGGCGGCCAUCUAAGUCAGACGUGAAAUCCCCCGGCUUAACCUGGGAACUGCGUCUGAUACUGGACGGCUUGAGUAUGGGAGAGGGAUGUAGAAUUCCAGGUGCAGCGGUGAAAUGCGUAGAGAUGUGGAGGAACACCAGUGGCGAAGGCGACUCUCUGGUCUGUAACUGACGCUGAGGCGCGAAAGCGUGGGGAGCAAACAGG
rnacentral:rRNA from 1 species